GAAUGUGAGUCAUAGAUUAUGCCGAAUAUCGCAUUAUUAUCGCUUAAGCGCUUUCGUGUCGUCGUUACGAAUUUUAGUUUGGAAUUGAGCAUUUAAUGACUUAAGAUUGAUGUUGAGAUUGUACGGGCUGAUUUGAGGGUUAUUGUGCGUUGAUGUAAUUUGUAUAUUUUAUGAAAAUGGUAUCGUUAUAUUGUGAAUUGUGAUACAAAACAUGAAUUGAAAGUCGGAAGUGUGCCCAGUGGGCUGCUCACGGGUAGGGGCUGUUUUCGGCCAAAAAUUUGGAGAAAUUGUGGAUUGUUGGAAAAAUUAUGUGAAUUUUUUAGAAUGUUCUUGAAUGUUGUUAGUAUGGGUUUGGGUUAAUAAUCGAAUGUACGAACGAUAUUGUGGCUUGAAAGUAAGCCAUUGAAUUGAAUAAUUGGAAAGUUGUCGAAUGGUGUAAAAGAGAGCUACUAUUAUUAUUUUGCCUUUCGAAUUGAUUAUCGAUGUUGCUAGGUUGGUUAUUGUGGUUGUUGUUGUUGAUUUUGAGCGAGUUAAAUUCUCGGGAUGGCCUAUUUAUAGGGGAAAUGCUGCCGAAUUUUCUGUAGAAUUUAAUGUUAGUUGGAAUAAAUGGCUUAAGUGCCUAUGUUUAAUAUUGGAUAUUCGUUGGCAUAUUUGUAGACCUUGGGGAGCCCGAGGCGUAGAUUGGAAUUUACUUUAUAUUGGCCAUCUUGGAGUGCGUACGAGGUAUGUAAAGCAACCUCCCUUCUUUUUGGCAUGUCUUAGUUUUACAUAGGCUAGAUUAGAGCCUUAAGGAAAUUCCAAAUCCGAAAUCCGAGCAUGAUAUGAUCUAUAUAUGUUCCUUGGCACUCUUAUGUAUGAUUUGAUGAAAUAUGAACCUUUAUGUAUUUGAAAUAAUCGCUUUCCAAACUUUGCGCAAAAAGGUUUCACUUUAAAGAACUUCGAAAUUUCUGAAUGCCAUACAUUUCACAUAAAUGCUCGGAUUACUCCAAUAUUUUUAUAAAAGUUUGCAUUAUGUAUGAUACGUAUGUUUUUCAUAGGCGGGCCCGACUUGGGUAAAUACCCGUCCGUGGGUCCCGCGACUUUCCUUUAUGUAAUUCAGAGAAUCUUUGAAAGAAUUUGGUAUGAUUAUUAUUCCGAUUUCAAAUAUGAUCAUUUUACUUAUGUUUGAAUUUAUGAUAAUGAUUUUAUGCAUAUGACUACUCACGACUCUACUCGUGCAUUCUGUUAUUCCUUUCGCCGAGUCCCGGGCCGGUUCUGUUGUCGUGCGCAUUUUGAUAUACUCCGGAGUUAUGCUGUGUUUAUGGUUCACCGAGCUACUCGCAAAAGAGGGUCGGGUUCCACCUAUAUUUGGUGUUAUGCUGUGUAUGGCGUUAUGUUGUGAUGUGAUAUGUGACGGUGAUACGGAGAUUUGAAACUUUCUGGUGUUAUGCUGUGUUAUGGCGCCAUCGACGGGUGGGCGACCAUAUUCUUCUGUACCCUAUGCAUUACUUACAUAUUUUUGAAAGUACAGACGCACAGUUUGGUGAUCUACCCAUUUCGGACACCCUAUUCUGCUGUUUGGAGUGCUCUUCUCAUUUCAGAGCACACAUUUUGGUAUAUAUUCGUUCGCCAUGUAUAUAUGUAUUUGUUCAGGGGCACGGCGGGGCCCUGUCCCGCCAUAUGAUUCGGUUUGUCUGUUUAGAGGUCUGUAGACGUAUUUGUGGGUGUGUGUGCCUACUUCUGUACGGAUGUGUUUGCAUGACUCUAUUCGUUAUGGCAGCCUCGUCGGCGUGCAUUUUGUAUAUGUUUGUGGCAGCCUUGUCGGCGUGCAUUUGUAUAUGCGUUUUGGGCCGUUGUGCCAUUUGACAGCCUUGUCGGCUUUUGACAUAUUUGAUAGCCUUGCCGGCUUUUUGAUAUAUGUGCAUAUGUUCGGCGAUGUAUAUUCCGCCGCCUCUUCUGAUUCUGAUAUAAUGUUUUGUACGCGCAAUCGCGCAAGAUAA